rnacentral:lncRNA from 1 species
CCGGAGGCGGCCGCCUGCUCUGAGGCGGUCCCGUCCCCUGAGGGGAGAGAAGGACGGGGCAGCGCUGUGGAGAUUUUCUCCUCGCCCUCCUCCCGGGCGCGGGAAAGAAGGACAGAAAGGCGAUGCCCUCACGGGGCCCGCGCCCAGCGCGCCCGGCUCCAGGAAAAGCCCCGUCCGCUUUCGUGGGGCAGGGGGUACCUUCCCCGGCCAGGCCCGGAGGAAGCGAGCCGCUCCAGCGCGGCGACCCACAGAGUGCGGCGGUGGCCUUGCGUCCUACCUGAGGGCUGCGCAGCAGGCGGCGGGGCCCGGGCGGGCAUGGCGGCGGUGGGGAAGAGGCGCGGGGACGCGGCCGGUUACCUGAGGCCUCCCGCGGCAGCCGCCAUCGAGGGGGAACCCAUGUCACGGCGACAGGAACAGCGUCGCGGCGGCCCGGCCCCCUCCCGGCGGCCACCUCCUCCUGCCCUGCCGCCACCGCCCACUUGGCCCCGCUCUUCCCGUCAGCCCCCGCACUGCCACCGCCCUUGGAACCGGCGUCACUCCCAGCAACGGCCGCGAGAACGCGAAGAAAUAAAAAAGCGAGGUACGCUACUAUGGGAAUGGCUCCUCCGUUACAGGAAGCAGCCGGGCCGCUCUGUGGCGCCAUCUUGGUUGAUGGCAAACUGCCUCACUCUCUGUAGGUCGGCCAUCUUGGACGAGGGGUGAGGUAGCUGGCAGGGAGGUGACGCUGCGGCUGCCAUGUUGAGUGAGGGCAGCCUAACAAGAUCUUGAUGGUGCUGCCGUAUGAGAUGGGGCAAUCAUCGUUCCACUUUUCACGUCUCUGUGUGACCAGAGGGUAAACAUCUUGAACUUCAGAGUCUGCAUACCACCUAAUCCCGAGGGAGUCCCCAGGGCCUGUCUGCAUUGAGCUGAAACCUCAGUUCUUAAGCAUCAGGAUCUGCCAGAUUUACAGCCUUCAAAGAGUAGGAUAGACAACAGCCCAGUUCAUCGGCACAGGCGUGAAGAACUGCACACAGAAAAGGAACAGGGCAGCCUUCCUACUAUAGUUGUGUCCAGAGCUGGCUGUCACUUCUCCACACAGACGAUGGCACCUGAGCCGGUUUGGAAUCUACAGUUCUAACAAGUUCAGCCAAGUUUUGUAAGCUGAAGAUCUCCGUUUAUCUUUAUUGUGUCAAUUGCUGACAGUGUUUCAAUACGGUGGUAAAAAUCAAAGAGCUGAUGUCCAUCCACAAAUAUUCUAAAACGGGGAUGCUCACAAAGUAUCUCAACCUGUAAAAAAUAAAAUGAUGAACCGUGUUCACAACGUAACUGGGAAGUUAUUUCACAGGAUGCAAAGAGCACCGGAUUAGCCUUUAAGCAGCGUUGGUAUGGUUACACAUCUUGCUACUUGCACGCCACGUAGCAGAGAAAGCUGAGCCCCCUUUGCCCCCACGACCCCAGUUACACUACAAGGGAUCUGCUCGCACUUCACAGAGAUGUUAAUCCAGCCUCACACAGCCAGGGUGGGGAGGACCCCCAAACCCUGAUGCACAGCUCUGCAGAUUAUGGUCCUGCUGGCACCAGGGAGGUUUUCUCUCUGUGAAUAAUGCCAGAAGCAAACUGCUAAUUAAAGGUAUAUCCAACCCAAAUCUUGCAUUCCUGGCUACAGAUGUUUGUUUGUUUUUUUUUUCCCGGCAGAAUGAGGGGGCAGCUCCCUCUGCAGUGUUUUCCAUGCUGCCAUUAAUUCAGUGGAAGAGAGCAAACAUGAGAGGGAUAGGUUUGCCCUCCACUCCCACACGCCAGAACUGCACUUACACAGCUGCUGUGCAACUAAAAAGCUUCUGCUGUGGCGACUGCACACAGGACUGCCUGCUGGACUAGGGGCUGCAGUGAGGGAGACGUAGCACAGGACAGCUUAAAUACAGCCAGACAGCCCACACAAGGCACAGCCUGCACAAGGGAAGGAUAAAGCUCAUCUCUCGUCCUACGGCCCUGGAGAAAUAAUCUAGAAAAGCCACAAGGAGAGGAGCUAGACCACUCGUUCUGGAUAAAUAUUCCUGAUAUCGAGGGUGGCUUGAUGCCUUGAGGAUAAGCUUUGCUAGAGCUGCCCCAUCAGGAAGCCAAGACGAGAAGGCACAAAACAUGCAUUUUUUGUAUGCGCCCUCAUAGACCUCCAGGUCUGGAAAGGCUGAGAAGCGAAUCUGCAGGGAAGCCAUGUGCAAAUCCUGGGUUGUUUCUGAGGCCGGUAGUCUGGAGCAAAGUGAGUGAUAAACUGAGCGAGUCGAAGUGCGUCUGAUUUAGGGCAUAUCAUACUGAGGAAGUAGCAGCAGACUGCCCACAGGACCUGGUAGCG